rnacentral:rRNA from 1 species
UACGGGGGGGAGCAAGCGUUGUUCGGAUUUACUGGGCGUAAAGGGCGCGUAGGCGGCGUGACAAGUCACUUGUGAAAUCUCCGGGCUUAACUCGGAACGGUCAAGUGAUACUGUCGUGCUAGAGUACAGAAGGGGCAACUGGAAUUCUCGGUGUAGCGGUGAAAUGCGCAGAUAUCAGGAGGAACACCGGUGGCGAAGGCAGCCAUCUGGACCGACACUGACGCUGAGGCGCGAAAGCGUGGGGAGCAAACAGG